rnacentral:rRNA from 1 species
CCUACGGGGUGCAGCAGUGGGGGAUAUUGCACAAUGGGGGAAACCCUGAUGCAGCGACGCCGCGUGUGGGAAGACGGUCCUCUGGAUUGUAAACCACUGUUCCCGGGGACGAAGAUGAGGGUACCUGGGGAGGAAGCUCCGGCUAACUACGUGCCCGCAGCCGCGGUAAUACGUAGGGAGCGAGCGUUGACCGGAAUUACUGGGGGUAAAGGGAGCGUAGGCGGGGAUGCAAGUUGGGUGUCAAAACUACCGGCUCAACUGGUAGUCGACCUCAAAACUGGAGCUCUUGAGUGAAGUAGAGGCAGGCGGAAUUCCUGGUGUAGCGGUGAAAUGCGUAGAUAUUAGGAAGAACACCAGUGGCGAAGGCAGCCUGCUGGGCUUUAACUGACGCUGAGGCUCGAAAGUGUGGGGAGCAAACAGGAUUAGAUACCCCAGUAGUC